rnacentral:rRNA from 1 species
CCUACGGGGGGCAGCAGUGAGGAAUAUUGGUCAAUGGCCGGAAGGCUGAACCAGCCAUGCCGCGUGAAGGUCAGUGCCCUAUGGGCGUUAAACUUCUUUUGUGCGGGAGCAAUAAUGGUCACGUGUGGCCAGACGAGAGUACCGUACGAAUAAGCAUCGGCUAACUCCGUGCCAGCAGCCGCGGGUAUACGGGGGGUUCAAGCGUUAUCCGGAUUUAUUGGGGUUAAAGGGUGCGUGGGCUGUGAGGUAAGGCAGCGGUGAAAUGCCUCCGCUCAACGGGGUGAAGUGCCAUUGAUACUGGCUUGCUGGAGUGCGGAUGAGGUAGGAGGAAUGUGUGGUGUAGCGGUGAAAUGCGUAGAUAUCACAAAGAACACCGAUUGCGAAGGCAUCUCACGAAUCCGCGAUUGACGCUGAUGCACGAAAGCGUGGGUAUCAAACAGGAUUAGAUACCCCAGUAGUC